rnacentral:lncRNA from 1 species
CUUCGACGACGGACACCACGAGCAGCAGCCUGCGCUGGAAAUGUCUGUACCGGGCGAGGAGGGGCAGAGAAAAGGCAUCUGGAGGAGGAGGAAGGGAAAGGGGGCUGGAACCCAAGACAAAAAGCCCGUCAAGGUUGUCCAGCUCCUGGAGGAUCCAGACCAGCGAAACUGCUCCCAAUGAAUCAAUCCCAACGGGGGCUAAAUGAAAUACGUUAAACAGAGACCACGUUAAGGAUACCGAGGCGCCACCAGACUCGACCUCGGCGUUCCGACCUCUACACGUUCCACCCACCGAUGGGCAUGGAGCCGCUUUCGACCCGCGGAGCCUCCACUGCCCGCAGCCCCUCAGUACCAACAGGCAGGGCUCGCCCCUUCCCCCCGAGCAGACACCAUUCCUCCGCCGCCCUCAAGCCUCGCCUCCAGCCCCCUUCCCCUCCCGGGGGUGGGGGCUUGAAUGUGUGUCCCUAACCCCCCAGCUUCCUAAGCCCUGCCAGCCUUUCAGCGCGUCUCUGGGAAUCCCUGGCACAAAAUCACCGCCGCGCUCCAGCCUUCUCCGCCCUCUAUGGAGAAGCCGGAGUAACGGCCUCAGAACCGCAGUGCCGCAUCACACCCCACCCCUCGCCGCCCGCCAGCGCCGCCCGCCAAUGCCGGGGGCCGCCGUCAAAGGGAGCGCGCUGCUCCCUCCGCGCCGAUAUCCUUCCGCCGACUCCCCGCCCCUCCCGUGCAGCUGCCUCUGGAUUGUGGGAGAAGAAAACCGCUGCAUGAGCGCGCUCCCGAGCGAGCGCGCCCCCGGGCUAGCCUCGCCGCCGCCCAGAUCCUGGCGGCGGGCGCGGGCUCGGGCGUGGGCGCGCGCUCGCUGCAGCUGCUGCGGAGACAACCCGCUCCUCGGUUGCGCCCAGGACGGUUGCCUGGUGGGCGGGGACAGGGAAGGCAGAGCAAGGGGUCUGUCUGCUCGCUCGCUCAUGCCUAAUUAUGGUUUAUUUCCUCCCCGAGUGACUUCUUUGAUACGUGAAGGAAGGGGAAAGAAAUCCUUCUCUUAUAAACAUGAGGGAUGCAGACAGCCUUUUUCGGACAGUUUGAUGUGUUCUGUAAAGCAUGCCUUCUCCCCAGCAAAAUGGAAUAGGAAAACUCACUGCAGCAAAUGGCAGAGGGACUUGAGCCACAACUUGGUGGGGGUUUUUUUCUCCUUUUUGUUUUCUUCCAAAUGCAGUCCACUAACGCAUGAAUGUUCUUCAAAGUUGCAAGUGACAUACAGUAAGAUUUUUUAAAAACCAGAGCUGUCUGUCAGCACGUUGGUAUUCCCUGACUGGAGCAAACAUGACUCAGACAUUGUUUUUUGGUUUUGUUUUGUUUUUUACUAUUUGGGCAUGGGUCGGGGGAAACCCAAGCAAAAUCAAGAGCUACAAAGAAGAAACAUUUAGAAGUCAUCCAAGUUGGGUGACAAAUAAACAGAUUACAUAUUUGUCAUAAAUCUCCAUGCCACGUACGACUGGGACCUUGAAAUAAUUUUAAGUUCCCUGGCAAAAUCAAAUGCUACUCCUCAUUUCAAAGGAAAAUAAAGACCUUUUUCCCGGGGUAAAAUGGGCAUAUAGAACGCAAUCUUUUUUUGAUAAAAGAUAAUAUUAUAGUUUUAUAAUGUGUGCUAUGUUUACAUUACAUAAAUAUUUACACGGAGUAUAUAUUUUAAAUUAGCAGUAAAAAUGUUUUUGUCAUAACACAGUUAAGAAAGAGCAGAAUUUCUUAAUUGGGUAGUUGAGAACCUGGACUCUGAAGUCUUCCUGCCUGGUUCCAAUAUGCACCAGCUGUGUGAGCCUACGCACGUUAUUGAGUCUCUUUGUGCUUCGAUUCCGUCACGUGUAAAGCAGGGCUAAUAAUAGGGUUAAAUGAAAUGGCAGCUUAUAGUUAAGUGUUCUAUAAAUGUCAUUAAUGUUGUUUUUAACAUUAUUCCUU